rnacentral:rRNA from 1 species
AGAGUUUGAUCCUGGCUCAGAACGAACGCUGGCGGCGCGUCUUAAGCAUGCAAGUCGGACGGGAACCGGGAGCUUGCUUCCGGCGAGAGUGGCGGACUGGUGAGUAACACGUGGGUGACGUACCCUAAGGAUGGGGAUAGCCUGUAGAAAUACGGGGUAAUACCGAAUACGACCGUAUGGGCAAAGACAUACGAGGAAAGAUGCUGCGGCAUCGCCUAAGGAACGGCCCGCGCACUAUUAGCUAGUUGGUGUGGUAACGGCAUACCAAGGCGACGAUAGUUAUCCGGCCUAAGAGGGUGAACGGACACAUUGGGACUGAGAUACGGCCCAGACUCCUACGGGAGGCAGCAGCUAAGAAUAUUCCGCAAUGGGGGGAACCCUGACGGAGCGACGCCGCGUGGAUGACGAAGGCCGGAAGGUUGUAAAAUCCUUUUAACCGGGAAGAAAAAGCGGCGCAGGGAAUGGCGGCGCGAUGACGGUACCGGUUGAAUAAGCAACGGCUAAUUACGUGCCAGCAGCCGCGGUAACACGUAAGUUGCGAGCGUUGUUCGGAAUUAUUGGGCGUAAAGGGCAUGUAGGCGGCAAUACAAGCUUGGUGUGAAAUACCUGGGCUUAACUCAGGAACUGCGUUGAGAACUGUAUUGCUAGAGUAGCUGAGGGGCAGCCGGAAUUCCAGGUGUAGGGGUGAAAUCUGUAGAUAUCUGGAAGAACACCGAUGGCGAAGGCAGGCUGCCAGCAGAUUACUGACGCUGAGGUGCGAAGGUGCGGGGAGCGAACAGGAUUAGAUACCCUGGUAGUCCGCACAGUCAACGAUGCACACUUGGUGUCUGGGCAAGAGUCCGGGUGCCGAAGCAAACGCGAUAAGUGUGCCGCCUGGGGAGUAUGCCCGCAAGGGUGAAACUCAAAGGAAUUGACGGGGGCCCGCACAAGCGGUGGAGCAUGUGGUUUAAUUCGAUGAUACGCGAGGAACCUUACCAGGGCUUGACAUGAGGAGGAAAGGCUAUGAAAGUAGUCCGCUCUUUUGAGUCUCCCCACAGGUGCUGCAUGGCUGUCGUCAGCUCGUGUCGUAAGAUGUGAGAUUAAGUUCUUCAACGAGCGCAACCCCCACUGUCCGUUGCCAACAGGUUAAGCUGGGCACUCAGACGGAACUGCCGGUGACAAACCGGAGGAAGGCGGGGAUGACGUCAAGUCAUCAUGGCCCUUACGUCCUGGGCCACACACGUGCUACAAUGGCUGGUACAGAGCGAAGCAAGACCGAGAGGUGGAGCGAACCGCAAAAAGCCAGUCUCAGUACGGACUGGGGUCUGCAACUCGACCCCACGAAGUUGGAAUCGCUAGUAAUCGCGCAUCAGCAUGGCGCGGUGAAUACGUUCCCGGGCCUUGUACACACCGCCCGUCACACCAUCCGAGUCGGAGGUACCCAAAGUCGCUAGCCCAACCGCAAGGGGGGCGGUUCCUAAGGUACGUCUGGUGAGGGGGGUGAAGUCGUAACAAGGUAGCCGUACCGGAAGGUGCGGCUG